rnacentral:rRNA from 1 species
UGGGGAAUUUUGGACAAUGGGCGCAAGCCUGAUCCAGCCAUACCGCGUGAGUGAAGAAGGCCUUCGGGUUGUAAAGCUCUUUCAGACGGAAAGAAACGGUCGCGGCCAAUACCCGCGACUAAUGACGGUACCGUAAGAAGAAGCACCGGCUAACUACGUGCCAGCAGCCGCGGUAAUACGUAGGGUGCGAGCGUUAAUCGGAAUUACUGGGCGUAAAGCGUGCGCAGGCGGUUUGGUAAGACAGAUGUGAAAUCCCCGGGCUUAACCUGGGAACUGCGCUUGUAACUGGCAGGCUAGAGUGUGGCAGAGGGGGGUGGAAUUCCACGUGUAGCAGUGAAAUGCGUAGAUAUGUGGAGGAACACCGAUGGCGAAGGCAGCCCCCUGGGUUAACACUGACGCUCAUGCACGAAAGCGUGGGGAGCAAACAGGAUUAGAUACCCUAGUAGUCCCUGAGCGGGCUGGCAAGGCGCAU